GCGGGUAUGGCGGAAUUGGCAGACGCGCUGGAUUUAGGAUCCAGUGGAGUAAUCCGUGCGGGUUCGACCCCCACUACCCGUACCA
rnacentral:tRNA from 1 species